rnacentral:lncRNA from 1 species
ACAGCCGGUUGUUUUCCAAGCUCACAACCAAACUUGUUGUUUUACGAGCUCACAACGAACUCGGUCGGUUCACCGACUAGAACCAACCCCGAUUGUUUUUCCGGGAUCACAAUCGAACCCUUACACGUUGGUUUUACACUCGGCUCACCAACCAACCUCUAUACCCUUGAUUCAAUCCCCCGAUUGAACCAAGCAAAGACAAUGUGUAGAUGAAAAGAACAAACAGAAAAAUACAGCUUCUCAAAAGCAGAUAAAUG